GAUGAACGCUGGCGGCGUGCCUAAUACAUGCAAGUAGAACGCUGAAGCUUGGUGCUUGCACCGAGCGGAUGAGUUGCGAACGGGUGAGUAACGCGUAGGUAACCUGCCUGGUAGCGGGGGAUAACUAUUGGAAACGAUAGCUAAUACCGCAUGACAACAGUUAUUGCAUGAUAACUGUUUAAAAGGGGCAAUUGCUCCACUACCAGAUGGACCUGCGUUGUAUUAGCUAGUUGGUGAGGUAACGGCUCACCAAGGCGACGAUACAUAGCCGACCUGAGAGGGUGAUCGGCCACAAUGGGAAUGGGACACGGCCCAGACUCCUAAGGGAAGGAGCAGUAGGGAAUCUUAGGCAAUGGACGGAAGGCUGAACGAGCAACGCCGCGGGAGUGAAGAAGGUUUUCGGAUCGGAAAGAUCUGUUGUAAGAGAAGAACGAGUGUGAGAGUGGAAAGUUCACACUGUGACGGUAGCUUACCAGAAAGGGACGGCUAACUACGUG
rnacentral:rRNA from 1 species